CAGGGAGCUUGCUCCGCUGACGAGUGGCGAACGGGUGAGUAAUAUAUCGGAACGUACCCAAGAGUGGGGGAUAACGUAGCGAAAGUUACGCUAAUACCGCAUACGAUCCAAGGAUGAAAACAGGGGACCGCAAGGCCUUGUGCUCCUGGAGCGGCCGAUAUCUGAUUAGCUAGUUGGUAGGGUAAAGGCCUACCAAGGCAUCGAUCAGUAGCUGGUCUGAGAGGACGACCAGCCACACUGGAACUGAGACACGGUCCAGACUCCUACGGGAGGCAGCAGUGGGGAAUUUUGGACAAUGGGCGCAAGCCUGAUCCAGCAAUGCCGCGUGAGUGAAGAAGGCCUUCGGGUUGUAAAGCUCUUUUGUCAGGGAAGAAACGGGUGAGGCUAAUAUCCUCAUCUAAUGACGGUACCUGAAGAAUAAGCACCGGCUAACUACGUGCCAGCAGCCGCGGUAAUACGUAGGGUGCAAGCGUUAAUCGGAAUUACUGGGCGUAAAGCGUGCGCAGGCGGUUUUGUAAGUCUGUCGUGAAAUCCCCGGGCUCAACCUGGGAAUGGCGAUGGAGACUGCAAGGCUAGAAUCUGGCAGAGGGGGGUAGAAUUCCACGUGUAGCAGUGAAAUGCGUAGAGAUGUGGAGGAACACCGAUGGCGAAGGCAGCCCCCUGGGUCAAGAUUGACGCUCAUGCACGAAAGCGUGGGGAGCAAACAGGAUUAGAUACCCUGGUAGUCCACGCCCUAAACGAUGUCUACUAGUUGUCGGGUCUUAAUUGACUUGGUAACGCAGCUAACGCGUGAAGUAGACCGCCUGGGGAGUACGGUCGCAAGAUUAAAACUCAAAGGAAUUGACGGGGACCCGCACAAGCGGUGGAUGAUGUGGAUUAAUUCGAUGCAACGCGAAAAACCUUACCUACCCUUGACAUGGA
rnacentral:rRNA from 1 species